rfam:Nomascus leucogenys chromosome 2, whole genome shotgun sequence.
GAGUGUUACAGCUCUUUUAGAAUUUGUCUAGCAGGUUUUCUAGUCUUCACUGGAAAGCACCCCC